rnacentral:rRNA from 1 species
GAUGAACGCUGGCGGCGUGCCUAAUACAUGCAAGUCGAGCGAACGGACGAGAAGCUUGCUUCUCUGAUGUUAGCGGCGGACGGGUGAGUAACACGUGGAUAACCUACCUAUAAGACUGGGAUAACUUCGGGAAACCGGAGCUAAUACCGGAUAAUAUUUUGAACCGCAUGGUUCAAAAGUAAAAGACGGUCUUGCUGUCACUUAUAGAUGGAUCCGCGCUGCAUUAGCUAGUUGGUAAGGUAACGGCUUACCAAGGCAACGAUGCAUAGCCGACCUGAGAGGGUGAUCGGCCACACUGGAACUGAGACACGGUCCAGACUCCUACGGGAGGCAGCAGUAGGGAAUCUUCCGCAAUGGGCGAAAGCCUGACGGAGCAACGCCGCGUGAGUGAUGAAGGUCUUCGGAUCGUAAAACUCUGUUAUUAGGGAAGAACAUAUGUGUAAGUAACUGUGCACAUCUUGACGGUACCUAAUCAGAAAGCCACGGCUAACUACGUGCCAGCAGCCGCGGUAAUACGUAGGUGGCAAGCGUUAUCCGGAAUUAUUGGGCGUAAAGCGCGCGUAGGCGGUUUUUUAAGUCUGAUGUGAAAGCCCACGGCUCAACCGUGGAGGGUCAUUGGAAACUGGAAAACUUGAGUGCAGAAGAGGAAAGUGGAAUUCCAUGUGUAGCGGUGAAAUGCGCAGAGAUAUGGAGGAACACCAGUGGCGAAGGCGACUUUCUGGUCUGUAACUGACGCUGAUGUGCGAAAGCGUGGGGAUCAAACAGGAUUAGAUACCCUGGUAGUCCACGCCGUAAACGAUGAGUGCUAAGUGUUAGGGGGUUUCCGCCCCUUAGUGCUGCAGCUAACGCAUUAAGCACUCCGCCUGGGGAGUACGACCGCAAGGUUGAAACUCAAAGGAAUUGACGGGGACCCGCACAAGCGGUGGAGCAUGUGGUUUAAUUCGAAGCAACGCGAAGAACCUUACCAAAUCUUGACAUCCUUUGACAACUCUAGAGAUAGAGCCUUCCCCUUCGGGGGACAAAGUGACAGGUGGUGCAUGGUUGUCGUCAGCUCGUGUCGUGAGAUGUUGGGCUAAGUCCCGCAACGAGCGCAACCCUUAAGCUUAGUUGCCAUCAUUAAGUUGGGCACUCUAAGUUGACUGCCGGUGACAAACCGGAGGAAGGUGGGGAUGACGUCAAAUCAUCAUGCCCCUUAUGAUUUGGGCUACACACGUGCUACAAUGGACAAUACAAAGGGCAGCGAAACCGCGAGGUCAAGCAAAUCCCAUAAAGUUGUUCUCAGUUCGGAUUGUAGUCUGCAACUCGACUACACGAAGCUGGAAUCGCUAGUAAUCGUAGAUCAGCAUGCUACGGUGAAUACGUUCCCGGGUCU